UGGGGAAUAUUGCACAAUGGGCGCAAGCCUGAUGCAGCCAUGCCGCGUGUGUGAAGAAGGCCUUCGGGUUUUAAAGCACUUUCAGCGGGGAGGAAGGCGGUGAGGUUAAUAACCUCAUCGAUUGACGUUACCCGCAGAAGAAGCACCGGCUAACUCCGUGCCAGCAGCCGCGGUAAUACGGAGGGUGCAAGCGUUAAUCGGAAUUACUGGGCGUAAAGCGCACGCAGGCGGUUGAUUGAGUCAGAUGUGAAAUCCCCGGGCUUAACCCGGGAAUUGCAUCUGAUACUGGUCAGCUAGAGUCUUGUAGAGGGGGGUAGAAUUCCAUGUGUAGCGGUGAAAUGCGUAGAGAUGUGGAGGAAUACCGGUGGCGAAGGCGGCCCCCUGGACAAAGACUGACGCUCAGGUGCGAAAGCGUGGGGAGCAAACAGG
rnacentral:rRNA from 1 species